rnacentral:rRNA from 1 species
CCCUUAGAUGUUCUGGGCUGCACGCGCGCUACACUGAAGCGUUCAACGAGUAUUUCACCUUGCCCGGGAGGGUUGGGUAAUCUUUUUAAAACGCUUCGUGAUGGGGAUAGAUUAUUGCAAUUAUUAAUCUUCAACGAGGAAUUCCUAGUAAGCACAAGUCAGCAGCUUGUGCUGAUUACGUCCCUGCCCUUUGUACACACCGCCCGUCGCUCCUACCGAGGGGGUGAUCCGGUGAAUGAUUCGGACUCUGGUGCUUCUAGCUGCUAGAUGCGCCGGAGGAAGUUUUGUGAACCUUAUCACUUGGAGGAAGGAGAAGUCGUAACA